UUGAGUGGGGUGUCAUUUCUUUCAAAUAGGUGAGGUGGUAAAUUCAAUUCCAUUGUUCUCUCUGUCCUUGUUGUUUCUUCGCCUAAUAAGCUCCGACGAGAAAGAGAAACCGACCGAAGAAGAAGAAGGGAAGCUGAAACGAGUAACUUCAUCGAAGCGCGUGGCGGUGGAUUCAGGGGCUGAGGCACGGCGAGGUUGAGGGAACCAGCCACUCUGCGUGACGGACCCUGAUAUAAACGAGAUCAUGGAGAAGGAGAAGUGGAGACAGUUCAGGGGAAUAGAGCUGAUUGCAUCUGAGAAUUUUGUGUGCAGGGCAGUGAUGGAAGCUCUGGGUAGCCAAUGUUAAACCCUAUUCAUGUACUUUUGUAAGGAAGGAGCUAGUUCAUUUAAUUACUUUGAUUUUACUUCAACAACCCACAAAUGACUCCGAGGUCCAAAACCAAGGAAGCAAGGGUUUGUUCUUAAUCACGGAGAUGAUAUUAAUCACAUUGCUGCUUUUGAACAAAAAUUGCAACUCCAGAGUACAAAGCAUAUAUGCAGCAGGUAAAGAAAAAUGCACAGGCAUUAGCAUCUGCCAUGAUGAGAAGAAAAUGCAGAUUGGUGACUGAUGGGACGGACAAUCACCUUUUUCUCUGGGAUCUAACUGCGCUAGGCUUAAUUGACAGAAACUAUGCGAAGGUCUGUGAGACUUUUCACAUCACUAUCAAUCAAUGUGCCAUUUAUGGUUUUAUUUCUUCCGGACAAGUAAGGAUUGGCAGUCCUGCAAUGACAACAAGGGGCUGUUUAGAAGAUGAUUUUGAGACCAUAGCCGAUUUUCUUGAGGGCAGCUGAGAUUACCAGGCAUUAUACAGAGGGAACACAGGAAAUCAUGCAAGGAGUUUCUCAAGGGUCUUCAGAACCAUAAAGAUAUUUCGGAGCUCAGAAAUCGUGUUGAGUGAGACAUUUAGUUCCCAGUUUGCAAUGCCAGGAUUUAAUAUCUGAUUUGAAGACAUUUUGAAUUAUUAGCUUUUUCCCUUGUUCUUCAUCAAGGUAGCUUCUGUAAAGUAUGUGCAAAUGGAGUCAAAUCAUCAUGCGAUGGCUAUAGGUCACACUUCAGCUAUUGUCCGCUUAGUACUUAGUGAUUGUACACAUUAUUAAGGAUGGUACCCUUUUCUUCAGAUACAACUUCUGUAAGUGAGCUUGAUUUGUUAUUUGAAGUGAGCUUGAUUUCAA